rnacentral:lncRNA from 1 species
CUGGGAGUGGCGCGGCUGCUUCCCGCCCGCGCAGGAUCAGGCCGGCCCCCGCGGGCCUGGAUCUGGAUCCAGAGCUAGGGAAACUGGAAAAACAGGCACAAACUCGGAAGCCGCGGUACGGCAAGAGCCUAAGCAAAGAAUCCUUUCCAAGAUUCACACCUCGUCUACACCAGGGCACCGCCUGGGCCUACGGCCUUCCGAACCCGAAGCGCCCGCAGCCCAGAGCUGGCAUCAGGCCGGGAAGGUCGUCGCAGGCCCCAGAGUGCGGGCGCGGGAGGCGCGCGCCCACAGGACGCCCGGGGUUGGGUAGGCAGGAGAGAAGGGCGCCAGCAGGCCCGCGGCUGUUUCCCCUCGGUCCGCACAGAGGGCCCGGGAGGCCAUUUUGAGAGCGCGAAGAGGGGCGGCAAGAUGGCUGCGUGGGCACCCGGAAGGUCGCCGCGCCAAGGGCCCGCUGAGCCCCUCCUCGCAUUCGUCCAGCCGUGCGGCCCACAGAAGCGGAACGCGCGUCGAGAGCGCCCUGUCCGCUCGCCCCAGACAGAUGCCCGGUUAUUCAUUACCCCGAGGCCUAGAGGAAAGAGUGGCUGCCGUCUUCCUGCCCACAGCCCGCCGGACCCUCCGUCGCGGCUGCCCGGUCCCCGGAGCCGCAGCCGCCGAGCCCGGCUGUGCGUGUCGUGGCUGCUGGGGAGAAAGAGGCGUCCGGACAUACUCUGGAGUCAGAAGACAGCGAAAAGAGAAGCAGAAGCCCCGGUGGCAAGAGUCUGAAGCAGGAAGGAUGACU